AUUCAUCGUUUCGGAUUCCUCGGACUCUUCGGAUUCCUCUUCGUUCUGAUGGUGCGCCUCCACUUCUGCAUCCGGAGAGCGGGAGCGGUGGAUGAGCUGUUGGAGGAGACCACUUUACAGUCUUUCUGGAAAACAGAUGGUGGGGGCAGUAUCAAACUGUGAGUGACUUUGAACUCAGAGGACAUCUCUAGAAAAGUUCCUCCAGGUACCAGAGAACCACAUUCAUCGCCUCCAGUCAGUUGCCAUUCGUCUUGAAAUCUCCAGGUGACCAGCAUCAGAGUGCUUUAAAAUGGAAUGAAGUUAAAACUAAAUGAAUUCACUGGAAGGGAUGCAGCUGUACCCCAGGACCCUGAUCUCGCAGUCUAGUCCUGAUCUGGCUAGGAGGUGGGUCUGAUCCUGCCGACAGGAUAUCUUUUUGUUUGCUUUGGAGUAAAUGUUCCAAUAACAUGAUGAUCAGAGAGUGGGGACAGUCUGGAGACUUCCCAAGCUUCCAUCGAGUUGAAAGGUGACCUGUGUCCUUGCUUGCUGACGUGUUGUCGGUGGAUUGCUCACUUUGUAGCUUACGACCUGCUGGCAAAAUUGUGGAGAGGAGACAUCGCUCCCAGCUCUUCUCACGGCAGAAGCUAGCGAUGCUUAGCCAGCUGAGGAUGCUGCAAUGCUGUAGAACAGUCCUUCCCCGAGGCUUGGGCUGUGGAGUCAAUCAGAUGCUUACUUCCCUUCUGAACCCUGAGUGGGGUCAGAGAAAGCGAGUGACCACCUUGGGUGUCUGCUGGACAGAGUCUGUCUUCAUCCAGAAACCACAGAAGUGAGAAAUAUAGAAGAACAUACCGACGGUUAAUACAAGUGCAGUCCCCGACGAUGUCUACCGUGGCUGCGCAGAUAUAAAAUCUGCUGUAAGGCCUGCCUCCUGGAGAUUUCUCCUUACAGAUGGCCAGGUUCAUGUAUCGGAACACUUUAUCCCCAGACGCUGGCAUUUUGGUAGGCUGUGAAAGUCUGACUGCAAGAGCCAGCUGGCAGAUGCAGGACACUAGCGGCGGGCCUAUGAGGGCUGCAGACUGGCUCGGCGGCUUCCCAACACUCUCUGCUUCAUGACCAUGGAGAUGCGAAGAGGCGGCAGCUGUAAGCUCUCACUGCCCAGACUGAACAGCCAUGCCUUCCCACUAGGAGAGACUGCGUCCCUUUCACCUGUGAGUCCAAAUACACCUGUGGUGGUAUUGUGUUCCCCAAAAUAUUGUGUUCCCCAAAAUAUUGUGUACCUUAAUAAACUUAUCUGGGGUCAGAGAACAGAAAAGCCACAAGAUACUUAGGCUAGAAAAUGUUAGCACACGCCUUUAAUCCUAGCAUUCCAGAGACAGAAAUCCCUCUGGAUCCCUGUGAGUUCAAGGCCGCAUUGGAAACAGCCAGGCAUGGUGACUCACGCCUUUAAUCCCAGAAAGCAGCCUUUAAUCCCAGGGAGUGGUGGUAGAAAGCAGAAAGGUUUAUAAGGCGUGAGGACCAGAAACUAGAAGCAUUUGGCCUGGUUAAGCAUUUGGCUGGUUAAGCAUUCAGGCUUCUAGCAGCAGUUCAGCUGAGAGCCAUUGGGAUGAGGACACAGAAGCUUCCAGUCUGAGGAAACAGGACCAGCUGAGGAAUUGGCAAGGUGAGAUAGCUGUGGCUUGUUCUGUCUCUCUGAUCAUCCAGUGUUCACCCCAAUAACUGGCUUCAGGUUUGAUUUUAUUAAUAAGAACUUUUAAGACUCAUGCUAUAUACACCCUUCCUGUUUUAGGGUGCUUCUGUCCAGUAUUCGGUCACCACCAGAAAAGCAAUGAACACACAAUGGGCAUUUAGAAAGCACGGGCCAAGCUUAUCCUUGGAUGUGCACAGAAGUACCUCAGAUGGAAGAGGAGGAGAAAGUUACUUGGAGGAGUCUGGGAAAAUGGUAUCAUCAAUAAUCAAGAAACCCUUUGAGGUUGCAUGUUUGGCAUAAAGUCAAUGAGCUUUAUAUUAUACUCCUCAAUGUAUCUGCUAUAAUUAAAAAUACUUUACUGAAAAAAUUAUGCUGUAGGAAGAUACUUCAUACUAUCCUACAGCAACAUACGCUCAGUGGCACACAGUAGCUUCCUCCCUGACACUUUCCUUAUUUUAUGAAUUAAGAAUCUAUGCUAUAUAGUUCUGUUUCUCUUAGAUGCAUAGCUGUGAGAAGAAGCUGUCUGUUUAGGAAACAGACAUCCAUUUUAAAUAUUGCUCAAGAAGAAGACAUGUACAAGUUUAGACUUAUCAAAUGGAGUAAGGCCUUUGUGAAAUCUGGACUUUCUAGCCUAUAUGUUC